UACCCUGUGUGUAGUAGGAUGUUUAUUUCAAAGCAUCCCCGACCUCAGAACUCAGCAGAGGAGGUCAAUGCUCCCUAGCCUGCCCUGCGCUGUAACAAGCAAGCACCUCUCCAAACUUUGGCAGACGUUCGCGUCUUCAAGUGAUCUCAAAGGCAGCGGAGGUAUCGAAGAGCUGCCACCCGCGGCGUUGGGAGAGGGGAAGGAGAAGAAGCCGGAAUUGCUUAAAUUAGCAUUCUGCUGAUGCCGCUCUCGGCACCGCGCACGGUGAAGCUAGCUCUGCCGGUGCUGCCAAAACUGCAAACUGGACUCCAUUGCGGUUUGUGGGACCAAUCUGCAAGCUUCAAAGUCCGCCGCCCUGACCGCGUCGGCCUUCCUCGAGCGCCCCCUGCAGGCAGAGCCAGGCAAGCCCCUUGGUUGAGGGGUUAGACCAGAGUGGGUUCCAGGGGAGACUCUUCGCUGAGAUCAUCCGUGCAUGAUCACGUGUGGUUCUGAGACUUUAAAGAGUUCGCUAACCACUCACCCGAGGCAAAGCUGGAACUCUCUGCAGGGAUGGAGGAAGAGCGCGGCAUGUUUGCAUGGACGCCUGUGGACAGCAGGAAGUCUGAAGAGCAUUGUAAUGUAGAUGACUGGUAUGCAGGAUAUCUGACAAGCCGCCUCUUCAAAGGUGCACAGACAGACCCACAGGCAGACCCACAGGCUGAGAACCACUGGUCUAUCCCAUGGAGUGUUUCAGGACGCACACAGAGGCAGUUCUGUUACUAACGAAGACUGAAUGGCUUCACUAGCCUCGGUCUUGACCUGUCCAGUUCGGUGGAGCUGUCAGUCCAGCCCGCGCUCACAAGUGCCUGUAGCUCCAGCUCCAGGGGGAUCCUAUGCUCCUGCCCUCCCCAGGCCCACCUGUGUGUGCACAGGAGUGCAUGCGCACAGAAAUUAAAACUAAU